GCGGGUGUCGUAUAAAGGCUAGUAUACCUGCCUUCCAAGCAGGUGAUGAGGGUUCGAUUCCCUCCACCCGCACCA
rnacentral:tRNA from 1 species